CUUUUCCUACUCUUUGCAGGGAUGAAUGUAUUUCUGCAGACUGUGAUGGCCUAUGACCACUUUGUGGCCAUCUGUCACCCCCUGCACUACAGGGUCAUCAUGAAUCCUGGGAUCUUUGGACUGUGGGUUCUGGUGUCCUGGAGCAUGAGUGCCCUGAAUUCCUCACUGCAAAGCAGAAUGUGUUGCAGCUGUCCUUCUGCACAAACUUGGAAAUCCCCCCAUUUUUUUCUGUGAACUUAAUCAGUUGAUCCUGCUUGCCUGUUCUAACACUUUUUUU
rnacentral:lncRNA from 1 species